GCUACACAUGCAAGUCGAACGCUGAAGCUCCAGCUUGCUGGGGUGGAUGAGUGGCGAACGGGUGAGUAAUACGUGAGUAACCUGCCCUUGACUCUGGGAUAAGCCUGGGAAACCGGGUCUAAUACUGGAUACGACGUCCUGCCGCAUGGUGGGGCGUGGAAAGGGUUUUACUGGUUUUGGAUGGGCUCACGGCCUAUCAGCUUGUUGGUGGGGUAAUGGCCUACCAAGGCGACGACGGGUAGCCGGCCUGAGAGGGUGACCGGCCACACUGGGACUGAGACACGGCCCAGACUCCUACGGGAGGCAGCAGUGGGGAAUAUUGCACAAUGGGCGGAAGCCUGAUGCAGCGACGCCGCGUGAGGGAUGACGGCCUUCGGGUUGUACACCUCUUUCAGCAGGGAAGAAGCCAC
rnacentral:rRNA from 1 species